AGGGAUUUAGCUUAGCGGCAAAAGCACUUGCCUGGCAAGCGCAAGUCAUGAGUUCAGUCCCUG
rnacentral:tRNA from 1 species